rnacentral:rRNA from 1 species
UACGUAGGGGGCAAGCGUUGUCCGGAUUUAUUGGGCGUAAAGAGCGUGUAGGCGGCCAGGUAGGUCCGUUGUGAAAACUCGAGGCUCAACCUCGAGACGCCGAUGGAAACCAUCUGGCUAGAGUCCGGAAGAGGAGAGUGGAAUUCCCGGUGUAGCGGUGAAAUGCGCAGAUAUCGGGAAGAACACCGGUGGCGAAGGCGGGUCUCUGGGCCGAUACUGACGCUGAGGAGCGAAAGCGUGGGGAGCGAACAGG